rnacentral:lncRNA from 1 species
AUUGGCACGAGGGAUGGAAAAGGGCAGAGAGCGGUCUGGGAAAAGCAGGCAUAGGGAAUAGGAAGAACAACAGAGAACCUGUUGAAGGCUCACUAUGCCUGUGCCGUUUAGUCUUGUUUCUGUGGCCCGAGUGCAUACCUGAUGUUUUCCAUCGGUUGGAAUGGGAUGUUUUAUGGGCCACUGUGCCCACCUCACCACUCCGUUGCCAGUUUUCCCCUGGGCUCGCCUGAGGCGGAGGGAAGGAGCGCCACGGAGCCGGCAAGAGCAGCAGCAGAGCUGAGAACAUCAGUGCAGAGUCUACAUUCCAGCCCCGUCUCGGGCAGCGCCUGAAUUCAGGCGAGAGAAAGGUUCCGAGUUCAGGUUGAAGAUAUUUUUCUAUAAUUAUCCUGGACAACACAAGAAUCACAGACCUUAUGAGGAGAAAGAGGCGAAUAAACAGAAACAACAGUGUGUGUGCUUUCUCGGACAGGUGCAGCCCAGGCCUUGGUAAAGUACUUACAUGAAACACCUACAUGGAAUUUUGAAGCCACCCUUCUGCACAGCUGUCCCUUCUUUGCUGGAUGGAGGGGGCAUGUGGCCAGGAAUGUGGGUAGCUUCUAGGAGCUAAGAGAGGCCCCAAGCUGAUGGCCAGCAGGAAAAUGGAGACCUCAGUCCAACAGUCAAAAGGAACUGAACUCAGCUGACAACUUGAAUAAACUUGGGAGUGAAUUCUUUCCCAGAAGCUCCAAAAAGUAACAACACCUGGAUGAAAACUUAAUUUCAGCCUGCGAGACCUAAGCAGAGGAUCUAGCUAAACUGUGCCUGGACUUCUGACCUACAGAAACUGUGAGAUAAUAAACAGAUGUUGUCUUAGGCCUCUAAGUUUGUGAUAAUUUGUGAUGCAGCAAUAGCAAAUGAAGCAAAUAUGAACUGGAAAAGACCUUGGAGUGAUGACAAGUACUACAGCGUGAGGAAUGGAUGCCUGUGUACUGACUAGGCUGA